rnacentral:rRNA from 1 species
AGUGAACGCUGGCGGUAGGCCUAACACAUGCCAGUCGAACGGCAGCACAGUAAGAGCUUGCUCUUACGGGUGGCGAGUGGCGGACGGGUGAGGAAUACAUCGGAAUCUACUUUUUCGUGGGGGAUAACGUAGGGAAACUUACGCUAAUACCGCAUACGACCUACGGGUGAAAGCAGGGGAUCUUCGGACCUUGCGCGAUUGAAUGAGCCGAUGUCGGAUUAGCUAGUUGGCGGGGUAAAGGCCCACCAAGGCGACGAUCCGUAGCUGGUCUGAGAGGAUGAUCAGCAACACUGGAACUGAGACACGGUCCAGACUCCUACGGGAGGCAGCAGUGGGGAAUAUUGGACAAUGGGCGAAAGCCUGAUCCAGCCAUACCGCGUGGGUGAAGAAGGCCUUCGGGUUGUAAAGCCCUUUUGUUGGGAAAGAAAAGCAGCAGGUUAAUACCCCGCUGUUCUGACGGUACCCAAAGAAUAAGCACCGGCUAACUUCGUG